rnacentral:tRNA from 1 species
GGGCCCGUAGCUCAAUGGUAGAGUAGCAGCCUUUUAAGCUGUUUGUUGAGCGUUCGAAUCGCUCCGGGCUCACAA